AAAAUAAAGAAUACAAUAGUAAUACUAAUAAUAAUAUACAUGUAAUAAUGCUAUUGUUUAUAUGUUGUGUGAAAGAAAAGCUACUGAGAUCUGUUGCAUUGAAUUUACCUUUGUGUGGGGAAGUGCUGUUUUUUUCGUUGGCAGAUGUUGUGUUGUUGUGUAGUAACUGAUUAGAUAAACCUCCCUCUAUUCCCUGUCACCCUGUUCUCUGUUCAUUAAACUAACAUGCUUUGGAGAGUGGCCUAGCUUCCUUUCAGUAGCAUCCAUUAAACUCACAGAAACUGGUCUUGUAGAACAUGUAGUGAAUGUGACCUCAAUUUUGAGUGUUAACUUCAUCCAAGACAGUUGGUGUGUAUGUUUGUGUUUGUGCACAUUUUACUAUCCUGGUGGGGACCAAAAAUACUCGCAGGGAUAACAAACAAGGAAACAAGGAACAUUUUACCUUGAGAAAACAUUAUGCCUGUUCCUAUAAUGGAUUUGGGUAGCAUUUACAUUUGGGUUAUGUUUAGUACUAUGGCUAAGUUUUUGGGUUUACGAGAUGUUGAGCAGAGAACAGAAUUUUUAAUGGGAAUAAUUUUUUAUGUCCCCACAAGGAUAGAGAUUUAAAAAAUGUGUGUGCGUAUCAUUGUUUUUUAAUGUUGUGGGGUGGGGUUGAAGGUUCAUCCAUGGACAGAAUUGUCUCUAGACUGUGCCUUUCAUGAUGGUGCUGAAAACGAAUAAAUCAAAGAAGAUAUCUUACUUUCAAAACAUUGAUGGCAAUAUGCCCAUUUCAAUAUGGAAGUGUGUGUUGACAGUCGACAAUACUGUAAAACAUGCUCGUUUGUGUGUAUGUGUGUGCCUUGGGUGUAUGUUUGUCUGUACCUCUGAUAUGCCAAGAAAUACAUCAAAAUGCAGAAGUGAUCCAUUUUGAAGUGUCAGGACCAAAAAGGCUUGUGGAAAUGGUAAAGUGGUCAUGCAGUCACAUGGCUCAACAACCAAAAUGUGUAUUUUUACUAACUGGGCACUGAAAUGGAAAUUUCAAACUGCCACCAUCUUAUGUUGGAAACCAGUUAAGUGUAAUGUAUGAGAUUUUUGCCUUUGAUUUCAUUUGUUAUAUCCUUUAAUUGAUGUCAAGCAAUAGGGGUGUUCUCCCCAAUGUGCCAGCAAUAAACAAAGUGAUUUUUAUCCUCUGAGCAACUGAAUGUUGGGUUACAUCAGAGUAAUUUCCCAAAUUAAACUAUUGCCUAUACGGCACUACUUUUGACUAGUGGUGCACUAUGAAUAACAUAGGGUGUUAUUUGGGAAUUAACUUUCAAAGUACACGUUUUAAUUACCAUCCCAUGUGAGCGCCUUGCAUUCUAUUUGCCACCUUUUGGAUGCUAAUUGUUCUCAAAUUAAUUAUAUGUCUCAAAUGGCACUGUAUUCCCUAUAUGACGCACUCUCUUUGAACAGUGCUCGUGGGGCUCUGUUCAAAAAUAGUGCAAAUUGUUGGUAUUAUGGUGUCACUUGGUACAGAACUACUGUUGUAGGCCUAUGCAUAUGUGUGUCCUAUUUUUUCAGAAAAUACUGCUCUGGCGUAUACAGAAUGUAUAUGUUUCUCCUCAAGAUCUUUAUGGAAAUACCUCAGCGUGUUGCAUCUGGAAGUUAAAACAAAAUGCAGUUAUCCAGUUGUGCCACAUGAGUGCCCACUUGCCUGGGAAAAGAUUCCUCAGACAGUUCCUCCAAACCCUGCGCCUCUAAUGUGGUUUGCUGUAUAUCAGACUUAAUAAGGUACAAAUGAUCAAUUGCUUUGGUACAAGUAUAAUGCACAGUUUUCUGUUUUUUUUCCCUGAUAAUGAAAUUGUUGUGACACUUUUAGAAGUAUAAUUGUAUGUACAGAAAAUACCUUUUGUCUUAACACUUAUCUGAUCCCAGUCC
ensembl:lncRNA